GGAUUGAACCCACGUCUCUUGCGUCUCCCACACUAAAUAGCAGCUCAAGGUGACUUUAGCCUCCAUGAGAUCAAGGUCAUGAGCUUCAGAUUGCUAUGGGACAGAGAGCCAGGACAGAUGCUCCUGACACUUCAGCUUUCGUUGUGCUCAAUUGUCACACCAACUGUGAUCGGGAGGAAACUAAGGAAAAGAAAUAUAGAAAUGAACGAAGAAAAGAGACUUAAUCGUGGACCAGUGAUGAUGAUCGUGAUGGGAAGAGUCCUAUUUGAUGAAAACAUGUCUCAGACUCUGAGGUCCAACCCAGAACAUCGGCAGUCUCUUCCUUCUGAAAGAAGCCAGUACCGAUGAUUUAGCAUCUUCCACGGACAGAAGCUCUGGAGUUGCCUCUGUAUAACAGGAAGGUGGAGAUUAAUACCCUACGCCCUCGAGCUUUGUGUUUGCAUCUCUGUGUUAGGAGCACAGAGACCAGUACUUGUCACCGUGGGCUAAUGUAAGCCUUCCUCAUGGUCAUGGAUUCUGCGGUUGCACUUGAUGCGCUCAGGGUUAGGAGAGCAAAAUGCUGGAGCUGAUUUUAGCCUCUGCCGUUACCAAGAUUGUGAGACCAAGGUGAGUAAUGGUCAACAUUAUUGUUUUGGCCUGGGUCAUCUGUUUAAGGGUAUUUAUAGUAUUAUUAGAAAAUAUUAAAUUCAUUGAAAAGUUUAUCAUGGCCUAAUGAUAAAUAUGAAGUACUAUGUUGAUUAAUCAAUAAUGAACAUGAUUGAGGUCUAUUAAUUAAAAAGGUUUAGUCUAUGUGGAGAAUGAUUCUGCAAACUGAUGUUAGGCAUAUCCUUGAUCUUGUCCUAGAGUUUUUAUGAACCAUGUAUUAUUUUUAUUUGUAUCAACGCAUUCAUAAUUUAAUCAGUACAAACAUACAAAUGAAGAGGAAUAGAUCCAGUCAUGGACCAGUGAUGAUGACUGAUGAUAAAGGAGUCAUGGACAAUGAGAAAAUAUGUGUCUGAAACUCUGAGGUCCAACAUGGAACAAAAUUAGUCUGUUCCUCUGUUGAAAUUGCUUCUGUAAAGAGAUAUGAGACAUAUCCAAAGAUCAUAUUCUUGUAUUGAUUGUGAUCAAUAUUGGUCAUAUUCUUGUAUAGCCUUAGAUUUGUUUUUAAUAAUGAAAUUAGCUUCCGUCCCAGCUCAGUUGGUAAA